UACUAUACACUACCUUUUUUAAAAUGGGUGCAAAAAUAAAUAAAUAAACACAAAAUUUGUUGAAAAAAAUUCACAAUUUUUUAUUUUGUUCUUUUAUUUAUUAAAAAAAGUUACAAAAUUAACUCCAAAUAAGUUGUUCCUUGUGGAAAAAUGAAAAAAAUUUGUUUGAAAAAUAUAUGGAAAAUUUCUAAUUUUUGGCUACUGACCUGAAACUAACGGAGGAAUUGGACCAAAUCUCUCCUGGAUCAGCGUUUUUCUGUUUUCGUUUAAGGGUACACUAUGGACAAAAAUUUACAAAUUUUGUCAAGGCUAAUGACCUGAAGCUAAUGGACGAAUUGGACCAAAACUUUCCGAGAUCAGCGGCUACACUUUUCGUCAACAUUGACGAAUUUUGUCAAGGCUACUGACCUGAAACUAAUGGACGAAUUGGACCAAAUCUUUCCGAGAUCAGCGAUAAGUAUAUAUAUCAAGCUACACUAUGGAGAAAAAUUUACAAAUUUUGUCAAGGCUACUGACCUGAAGAUAAUUGGACCAAAUUAUGCACGUAAUACACUGAAAUAGAAGCCAAAAAUAUUUUUAAAUUUAUAAUUUUCAAAUAUGUUACAAAGUUUUAUUUAAUAAACUUACAAUUACUGUAA